GUGGCAUGUUGGACAGUGGCUCCAUGGCGUGUAGCAUUAGCGAAACAGCUGAGAUGAAACUGAGAGAUGCUGGAGUGAUAACCGACCAAAAACAAAUUGAUGUCAAUGUAGUCCUUGUUGGAUGUGGUGGACUUCGUGUGAGGCCCAAGUGUGCUUUCGGGAUGGAGAUGGAAGUGUAUGGCUGUAAGAUGUUUGUUCCAACACUUGUUGUCCCGGGACAGCAUGAUGAGUUGAUUAUAGGGACGAAUGUUAUAAAACACAUCCUGCAUCAGUCUAAGUUCUGCGAGUCCUAUUGGAAGACAGUGUCUGGCCCUUGCCCAGACAGAGACCCAGACACUGAACGUUUCCUGUCUAUGCUCUCAGGUCUGAAUCCAUGGAGAGGUAGUGAUGUUCCUGACAAAGUUGGUACAGUCAGAUGUAACUCAGCCACCUGUCUCGAGCCUGGCCGUGAAUACCUCAUCUGGGGAAAACUACCCAGGAAUACUGCUAUUUCUCCAGGUAGCACCGUCAUGACAGAGCCCACUUCAUCCCGCUCGGCUCCCAGAGGUGUUCUGGUCGCAAAGAUUGUAACUACACUUUGGGGAGACCGGCAGGUUCCGCUGAAGCUCAUCAAUACAUCUGACAGACCUGUGCUCUUGAGGAGAAAUGCAAAGUUGGCUGAUGUUUAUACGUGUGCAGCGCUUGAAGACAUGGAUGUUGCUGAACAGACAGAGGUUCUCCUGGCUGGCUGCACUCAAUCAGCCGUGCCUCCUACUGCUGACGCAGAUUCUUCCAAGGAAAUGCUUGGCUCAAUUGGGCUUAGUACUGUUGACGUUGAGUCGUGUGAAGUGUCUGUGAACUGUAAGAAGAGGAUGGCUGACCUUGUGAUGCAGUAUGAGGACAUCUUUUCGCGCCACCAUCUUGAUUGUGGAGAGGCAAAGGACUUUGUACAUCGCAUACACCUGUCAGAUAAAAGACCAUUCAGACUCCCAUACAGGAGAGUGCCCCCUGGCCAGUACCAAAAGCUGCGCCAGGUACUGAGCGAGAUGGAGG
rnacentral:lncRNA from 1 species